GACGAACGCUGGCGGCGUGCUUAACACAUGCAAGUCGAACGGAAAGGCCUGCUUUCCCUUGUGGAUUGCGGGUACUCGAGUGGCGAACGGGUGAGUAGCACGUGAGUGAUCUGCCCCAAACUUGGGUAUAAGCCUGGGAAACUGGGUCUAAUUCCCGAUAGGACUGCAGGGUGGUGCCUGUGGUGGAAAACGAUUUUCUAGUGGUUGGGGAUGAGCUCGCGGCCUAUCAGCUUGUUGGUGGGGUAAUGGCCUACCAAGGCGGCGACGGGUAGCCGGCCUGAGAGGGUGGACGGCCACAUUGGGACUGAGAUACGGCCCAGACUCCUACGGGAGGCAGCAGUGGGGAAUAUUGCACAAUGGGCGGAAGCCUGAUGCAGCGACGCCGCGUGGGGGAUGACGGCCUUCGGGUUGUAAACUCCUUUCGACCGCGAGGAAGCCACCUGGUUGGAAGGGUGGUGACGGUAGUGGUAGAAGAAGCACCGGCUAACUACGUG
rnacentral:rRNA from 1 species